rnacentral:pre_miRNA from 1 species
CACAUACUCCCUCCGUCCGGAAAUACUUGUCAUCAAAAUGAAUAAAAGGGGAUGUAUCUAGACGUAUAUUAGUUUUAGAUACAUCUCUUUUUAUCCAUUUUGAUGACAAGUAUUUGCGGACGGAGGGAGUACAUU